GAUGAACGCUAGCGGCAGGCCUAACACAUGCAAGUCGAGGGGUAGCAGGAUUAAGCUUGCUUAAUUGCUGACGACCGGCGCACGGGUGCGUAACGCGUAUGCAACCUGCCCCCAACUAGGGAAUAACCUUGCGAAAGUAAGACUAAUACCCUAUAAUUUCCUCAGAUGUCAUCUGACGAGGAAUAAAGAUUUAUCGGUUGUGGAUGGGGAUGCGUCUGAUUAGCUUGUUGGCGGGGUAACGGCCCACCAAGGCAACGAUCAGUAGGGGUUAUGAGAGGAAGGUCCCCCACAUUGGAACUGAGACACGGUCCAAACUCCUACGGGAGGCAGCAGUGAGGAAUAUUGGUCAAUGGGCGGAAGCUUGAACCAGCCAAGUAGCGUGCAGGAUGACGGCCCUAUGGGUUGUAAACUGCUUUUAUACAGGAAUAAAGUUAGCCACGUGUGGUUAUUUGUAGGUACUGUAUGAAUAAGGACCGGCUAAUUCCGUGCCAGCAGCCGCCGUAA
rnacentral:rRNA from 1 species